ACAAUUUACAGCUCCUAAUUUCAAAUCACAACUUCCUUUUUUCAGUACAAUGAACCUGAUUGAAUUGCAAUAAUUCAGGUUGAAUCCAAGAAAACAAUCCAGGAGAAUGUGGAUUAUGAUGUAAGCCCUCCUAUUUGCUACUUGGCAGGACAAUACAGCCAUUCUUGGAUAACAAAACAAAGAAUAGAGGGGCCAGGGCAUUCCCUAAUUCCUAUGGUUGAUCAAUACAAAAACUGUAAAGAAAAAUAAAAGUUAGAUAAUAUAAUGAGUAAUGGUAGUUUCCCAAUCAGGAUAGAGAAGUAGAGAACAGUGGCCCUUCCCAUAAUGCAAUGUCAGCGUUUUUAGUAAGAUUCUCUGUUACACUACGCUUACGACAAGAAACCAAAUUGCGCCCAUAAUAAAUCUUUUACUGAUCUCAUUGUCCCAUUAAACUAACAAAGAAACUCUCUUUCUUAGCUUUCACAAGCAAUCCAAAAUUCCAAAUCAACACACGCUCUUCUCAAAGUCAAUGCACCGACUGCUUUGUGGAUCUGAGUCUUUGGUAGAGAGCCUAGCUGGAACGAGAAUUGGGUUGACGAAUGCUAUGAAAGGACGAAGUAAGAUUUUAGAUAAUGCUUCACUUGUUAAAUUUUUCCAGAAAGCUGACUCGAUUGCUGGCAAUUAUUGACAAGUACGAGUAGAAUAUCCAAAAUUCUAAUAUGUACAGAUUUGUCACAUGUGAUGAUCCGAAAGGAGUUGUAGAAUGUGGAACAGUUAGAAGAUCCAAGAGUGCUUCCCAGAAAAUGGAGGAUAAGAUCAACAGUCGUAGAACACAGAAGAAAUCAAAUACAUCUUUGGCAUACAAGGAAAAGAAAGAAGAGAUGGUUCCUAAGGAGAUUAUAGAAGAGUAUCAUAGUCCAUCUUCAUUUCAGCUCCUAGAGGUCUCCAGAGGAGCUCAGAAGUUGAACCAUUUGAUGGACUCAUUUUCUAAAGGGUUGAGCUAUGAUGGCCAGUCCAAAGAUAUUGCAAAGGAGUUGUUGAAAGGAGCUCUUGAUCUGCAAGAUUCUCUAACCAUGCUUGGCAAGUUGCAAGAAGCCUCACAGUAUAUGGCUCAGUUGAAGAAAAAGCAAAAGGAGAAACCAGAAAGAAGAAAAUUUGAUGAAGUGGGGAGCGAGAAAACAAAUUCACAUCUAUCUGGAGAUCACAAUCACCAACUAGGAUUUCAACGGCCAAGGCUUUCAUCUGAUAGGUCAUCAAAAGAUUGCAUUGAGGAGCUCAGGAAUGCAAUCAGAGACGGCUUGGCUAGGCAAAAUUUGCUUCCAAACACAUCUACCCAGGAGAGAACAAAUUUUGAUAGGAGAAAGGACUCAAUUUCGCAUAUCCCUUCCACUAGCUCAAGCCAAUUGUCAGUGGUUCAGUCAAGCAAUAUUCAUUCUUGUGGCUCCACUGUAUCAGAAAUAGCUUUACAGAAGAAGGGAAAAGGCCCAAAUUUGAUUGCCAAGCUAAUGGGUUUGGAAGACAUCCCCUCGAAGAAAUUGAUGCAGUCUCCAGAGAGACAGUUCAAUAUGGAGAAGAAUGUGAGUCAGCGGAGGCCAGUCUUUGACAUUGAAAUGCCGAAGCUAAGGAAGCCUCAACCGAUAAUACAGAAGGUAGAUUCAGAGCGAAGGACGCUGAAGGAAUUACUUGAAACUGGGCAAUUUCAGGAACUCUUGAAAGGCAGUUCUGACAAAGAGCUCAAGUCCCAUUCUCAUCAAUCUAGUGAUUUCCAUUCUAAACAAAGGUCACUCCAUGAUUUUCCACCAAUUGUACUUAUAAAACCUCCGCGUGUUCCCUGCUUAGAAUCAAAGGAGGCACGUGCACCAAUGGUUUGGGGAGAGGGAUCCUUGAACACAAAAUUGAUGCUGAGAAAAAUGAAAAUAAAAGAAGAUUUCUCUUCCAGAUCAAUAGAUAACGAAGACAGCAAAAUUCACUGCAGAAUAGAAGCAGAUGAGACUCGAAUCAAAAGGGUUAUUCAGGAAGGAGCAAAGGAUCACAUAGAGGUAGUCGUGAUACCAGAAGAGAAAGAAGUCAGAACGAUUGAGCAGAGAGAAGGGGCUGUGAAAGCAAAAAAGGUGCAGACGAAACUGGAAGCGGAAAAGGCUCCAGCGAAAAGAUUUAGCUAUGAAGAAAGAGCUAAAGACCACAAAAGGGCAGUUGCAGGUGCAGAGGAGAAAGAAGUCAAGAAAAGUGUGAAGGAUUCUUCUAUGAUAAAAGAAUCUAAUCCUGCAACUCACCAACGACAGAAAAAAGAUACAGAUAAGAAGGUAGAUAAGAGUCAGAAGGUGGUGGGCAGUGGCAGAAAACCAGUAGAUAGGGAAAUUGUGAAGACUAAAAUUGUGUCUAGAUCUCAAGAUCAACCCACGAUAAGCUCUACGAAGCUGAGGAAACCUGAAAGUGCAAUUGUUACUACUAAACAUCAUAUUUCACAGAACCGACUUGCCACCAGAAAAACCAUCUCAAAGCUCACAACACAAACGACAAUUCAUAAUUCUAAUGAUCAGAAGCAGAAAGAAAAACAAGCAACUGUGCAUACAGCAGCUAUGCCAAUUACUGAUAAUUUAGAGUGCAGAGAAGAUGAUGAGAGGAUUGAUCUCCUAUACAAUGAUCACUCAGAAAAAGAAGGAUCCACUAUCACACAUGAUGAUCAACCAUCUACAGAAGAGGAAGCAAAUGAUUCAAAAUUUCGAACUGAAGAGCAUUGUGGUGGUGACCAGGGUUCCCUUUGUCUAAUCGCCAAAGAAGUGAAUGAUCAAAUGACUCGCAUUGGAACAGAUGACACAAGCUUCGAAAGUUCAUACCAAUUGAAAGAUUUGCUUUUGAGCAGUUCAUCAUUCAUAAACCUCGCAGAGGAACUUUUUCAUCUAAAUAUGAGUUAUCCUAAGAUCUUACCAGCAUCUGGCAUAUACGAUUCAGGAGUAACAGAUGUUAAACUGUCUUUAGAUUAUGCAAAUGAAUUCAUUGAACGUAGAAGCCUUCCUGAUUCACAAACAAGGCAUCUUCCAUUAUCUUAUAUGGGAGAUUCAAGAAUUUCUCUCUCUCUAGAUCAGUUGGUAGAGGAAAUUUGUAGAGGAAUUGAAACUCUUAGGAGCUACCAAAAGCUUGCUUGCGACCACCUUCUUACAGAUAGUUUGUAUGCAACAUUUGAGAAAGAUAUGAGGUGCAAAGGAGUGGUGAGUGGAAUAUGGGAUUUGGGUUGGAGAAAUGGAUUCUCUGUGCAGGAACUUGAGCAAGCUUUAAGUGACAUAGAGAAGUUUCUUGUCAGUGAGUUGAUAGAGGAGGUCUUUUCAUGAUUUCUUAGCAUUUUACAUUUAUGAUUGUAUUUAUAUAGAGGUUGACAGGUAAGCAGUGUUUCUGUAAAUAAGUGACUUCGGUUAAAUAUACAGGACGAAAAAGCUGAGCUUUUUGGCUAUGGCCUCACUGUUAUUGUAACCUUUAUUUGGCUAAAGCUUUAUCUUCAUUGACGUCAAGGCAAGAGGACCACAAGAUGUACAUAACUGAGGUCAAAUUUGAUUGGUUUGAUUGUUGAAUUUCUUGGUCACUUUCUGGAAUCUUGUACUCAAAUGACGACUCCAAUACCAAUUUUCUGAUCAAUUGGAUAACUGUAAAAAAGUCAGAAAGUGGCCUACAUCAUGAGCUUGUUUACCUUACAGCCAGCAUUAGCAAGAGGGCCAUGGAAGACACAUGAAGAGUAACGUCAGGCCAAGAUUCAUUUUGGACAGUAUCUUAACUAAAAUGAGUUUUAAUAAUAAUGCAGUUUGCACUAUUGAAGUCUUUUGGUAUUCUUGUCCAGAAGGUCUAUGUGGUGCUCUGCAUCUCGCCCCUAAGAACCUCAGUUCUUUUAUAUAUUUACAUCAAGCAUCUGAUCAACAUUCCUAACUAGCCUCGUUCUGCCGAGUCAGCCAUUGAACCUGCAAACCUUGUCUUGCAGGGUUUAAUUAAGGUUCGAGAAGAUCAAGGAAGCUCCGCUUCAGUUGCUGCAAAUUGAAACUUCUUGGUAAUGACAGCUACUUAACUUUCAAAACCCUUUAAUAUUUCCAGGAAGCAAAGGCAACCAAAUACAAAAUAAGAAGAUACAGCCAUGCAACUCUUUGCAGAUGAUCAUCAAUGCUUCCAUGAAGUAGUUGAUCCUCCAUUGAUUGCAGAGAAAAGCUAACUAGAAGUUAAAAGUACGAGUCUACAUAUACCAUUUAAACACAAAGAGUUACGUACAACUUCGUAUACACAAGUACAUACCAUCAGCAAAAGAAACCAGUAUCAUCACAUGUUCAAGAUGGUAGGCUUAAGAAGAAGCUCCCUUGAAAACAAGGAAAUUGAGGGACCCCAUGGCAAAAUAGAUGAAAGUCCCUUGUGUGUGAGUAAAGAAACAACCAAAAUUUGAACCCACCACGCAUUGCCAUCCACCACCAUACAUCUUAUCAAAUUCCUUCUUGAUGUGGGCGGCAAUUGAGAUACAAUCAGAAACAUCAUAGACAUCAAGGGCUUGAGAAGCACAUGCCAUGGCUUGGAACUGCAUCUUCACUGGCAUGUCUGUUUCCUUCACCAUAGCUUUUCCUUCCAGCAUCUCGCCCUCUAUCUCGCUUGAAUCACAAAAGGUGGUACUUUCUUCACGUUGUAUCAUAUGAUACUGGGAAUUUGUAGCAGAGAGCCAGCAUCUGAUAACUAACGAGAAGCUUCCCUAUAUAUUUGAUGAGGAAGAAGAAGACGAGGGAUGAAAUAAUCAAAAUAAAUCAUAAAUGGAUGGUUUCAUUUUCGUAUGCGUAGUAAAGCUGGGCA
rnacentral:misc_RNA from 1 species